rnacentral:lncRNA from 1 species
GGGUGUGGACGUGUGGGGAGAGACAACUUCUCCACUAGAUUCGUGCUUGCCAAGUUGUUGCAGCUGUCACCGUCAAUAAUGAUGCGAACAGAUCGUUCUUGCACAACGCCUUUGGUGACGAACAAGGUGUGGCACUAGUUCUACUCUGGUUGUGCAACCUGCGUGCUUAGAACGCGCUGCACAACAAGACUCUCAUACUUGUCGGUGUCAGUGGCAGCCACAUGUUCUUCUUCGAUUCCUGCAAUGUCAGUGGCAAGCAUAGCAUAUAUGGUUUCUUCAGAAUCACAAGCUGAAGAAUACUCACCAUUGUCACGUAUAAUCAGCGUGCGCUUGUUGGGGCAGUCCCGUAUC